rfam:Rivularia sp. PCC 7116, complete genome.
AUUAACUCGUUGCGUCUCGGUGGAUCUCUCUAUAAUAAGCCUGCCCAUUUUUUAAGAUUCCACCUCGGGGAAAGUCUGGUGUAAAUCCAGCGCUGUCCCGCAGCUGUAAUAAGACACAAGUUGUCUUUAAGUCAGAAUACCCGCCUGUAACAUAAAACACAA